rnacentral:rRNA from 1 species
GACGAACGCUGGCGGCGUGCUUAACACAUGCAAGUCGAACGGUGAAAGCGGAGCUUGCUCCGCUGGAUCAGUGGCGAACGGGUGAGUAACACGUGGGCAACCCGCCCCCGACUUCGGGAUAACUCCUCGAAAGAGCUGCUAAUACCGGAUACGAAUCCUGCAGGCAUCCGCGGGAUUGGAAAGUUUCUCGGUCAGGGAUGGGCCCGCGGCCUAUCAGCUUGUUGGUGGGGUGGUGGCUCACCAAGGCGACGACGGGUAGCCGGCCUGAGAGGGCGACCGGCCACACUGGGACUGAGACACGGCCCAGACUCCUACGGGAGGCAGCAGUGGGGAAUAUUGCGCAAUGGGCGAAAGCCUGACGCAGCAACGCCGCGUGAGGGAUGACGGCCUUCGGGUUGUAAACCUCUUUCAGCAGGGAAGAAGCGAAAGUGACGGUACCUGCAGAAGAAGCACCGGCUAACUACGUGCCAGCCGCCGCAGUAA